UUUUACUUGAGUAAUAUAAUCUCACUCUUUAACUGGGUUGUGUAAGAAACUCAUCAAGGAGGUAAUAUUAUUCAAAAACAGCUGGAGAGAAUUAGCCAGUUUUAAGGAUAAAACUUUUAUUACACCACACACAAUCCAGUCACAAAUUAACAUUGAAAAGACAAUAUCAGACUUGAGUACAAAUUCCUUUGCAUCUUGUUUGUAUAAGAUGGAAACAACCUAAUUUGUCUUUCCAAGAUUCCCGUCAUCAGUUUAAAGAAAAACAUUAAACAUCUUUAUCACUUGAUUAACACCCCCCAUUUUAAAACAACAUAAAAAAAUGCAGAAAAAAGAUGUUCACAUGUGACUUUAUCAUGCUAGGUAAGAUACACAAGUCUUGGCUUCUUUCGUGGAGCCUUUUUAAUCCUUUUAUCAAUAUUAAUUUUUUAAUAAAUGUGUAAAUUACGGUCCACAAAGAGUAAUAUUCAUAACUAUUAUUUAGUUUAUCCUAAAUGUACUAAAGGUUUUCUUAAAUUGAGUAAAAGCAAGUUUUAAAAUUUCAUAAUGAAACAAUGAAAAUAUAUUUCCAUUAUAGUACCAGACUGAAAUAUAAUCAGUGAUUUAAUGUUAUUACCGUCACCAUAAACAAAACACCUAAAACAUUCUGUAAAGUGGCCAAAAAAUAAAUCUGAAUAUUUGAAGCAGAUGUUUAGACAAAAAAGAAACAAAAUGGAUUAUUGGAAGGGUAUUGAAACUUUAGCAUAUUAGACAUGGAAAACCCGCUGCCACCAACUAGUUAAUUUGACACCCCAAAAAUAAGUAAGAAAUUUACCAAAAGCCCCACAUGACUAAAAACUUUACUAAAAUGUAAUAAAACACAAAAAAGCUACACAUGUUGCAUAGGUAAAACAUAUUGUAGUCUCUAACAUAACUUUUUUCCCCAGUGACUGUA